AAACCCGUAGAUCCGAUCUUGUGGU
rnacentral:miRNA from 1 species